UACAGUCAUAUCAUGUUGAAACACUGGUUCCCGUACAAUCACCAAAAUUAAGCAAUGUCGAGCCUGGUUAGUAUCUAGAUGGGUGGCCAUUUUGGGAAUAUCAGCUGGUGUA